AUUGAACGCUGGCGGCAGGCCUAACACAUGCAAGUCGAGCGGAGCGGCGGACGGGUGAGUAAUGCCUAGGAAUCUGCCUGGUAGUGGGGGAUAACGUCCGGAAACGGGCGCUAAUACCGCAUACUAUCAGAUGAGCCUAGGUCGGAUUAGCUAGUUGGUGGGGUAAAGGCCUACCAAGGCGACGAUCCGUACCUGGUCUGAGGGGAUGAUCAGUCACACGGGAACGAGGACACGGUCCAGACUCUAACGGGGGGCAGCAGUGGGAAAUAUAGGACAAUGUGGGAAGGCCUUAUCCGGCAAGGCCGGGUGUGUGAAGAAGUUCUUCGGAUUGUAAAGCACUUUAAGUUGGGAGGCGUUACCAACAGAGUAAGCACCGGCUAACUUCGUGCCAGCAGCCGCGGUAAUAC
rnacentral:rRNA from 1 species